UACAGAGGGGGCAAGCGUUAUUCGGAAUUAUUGGGCGUAAAGGGCGCGUAGGCGGCCUGGCAAGUGGAAGGUGAAAUCCCUCGGCUUAACCGAGGAACCGCCCUCCAAACUGCUUGGCUUGAGUCCGGGAGAGGUGAGUGGAAUUCCCAGUGUAGCGGUGAAAUGCGUAGAUAUUGGGAGGAACACCAGUGGCGAAGGCGGCUCACUGGACCGGAACUGACGCUGAGGCGCGAAAGCGUGGGGAGCAAACGGG
rnacentral:rRNA from 1 species